AACGAACGCUGGCGGCGUGCUUAACACAUGCAAGUCGAACGGCAAGGCCCUGCUUUUGUGGUGUGCUCGAGUGGCGAACGGGUGCGUAACACGUGAGUAACCUGCCCUUGACUUUGGUAUAACUUCAGGAAACUGGGGCUAAUACCGGAUAGGAGCUCCUGCUGCAUGGUGAGGGUUGGAAAGUUUCGGCGGUUGGGGAUGGAUUCGCGGCUUUUCGGCUUGUUGGUGGGGGAGUGGCUUACCAAGGCUUUGACGGGUCGGCGGCCUGAGAGGGUGAACGGCGACAUGGGGACUGCGAGACGGACCAGUCGCGUACGUGAGGCAGCAGUGGGGAAUAUUGUACAACGGGAGGAAGUCUGAUGCAGCAACGCCGCGUUCGUGAUGACGGUCUUUGGGUAGUAAACCGCAUCCGCCUGUGACGAAGCGUGAGUGACGGUAAUGGGUAAAGAAGCACCGGCUAACUACGUG
rnacentral:rRNA from 1 species